CAUAGGAGCAAGAAGUGACAGUCUUGGUCACAUUCUGCUUAAGUAAAACUGUCACUCAAAAAACAAUCCUCGAUCAUGAGCCCAGCAGCAGGUUUUAAGGAGUUAACCGUUCAUGUGUAUCCAGUAAUGACAGCCAAUGUCAUUGCAAUGUUCAUACAUUGCUGGACACAGCUGAGUGUUCUUGAGUGAUAGUUGAGUAAGCACUUGUUUUUUGUGAGAAUCACUCAAAAUGAC